GCCAGGCGUAGUGGCGCACGCCUGUAAUCCCAGCUACUCGGGAGGCUGAGGCAUGCGAAUUGCUUGAGCCUGGGAGGUGGAGGUUGCAGUGAGCUGAGACUGUGCCACUGCACUCCAGCCUGGGUGACAAAGCAAGACUCUGUCUCAA
rnacentral:SRP_RNA from 2 species